rnacentral:rRNA from 1 species
UACCAGCACCCCGAGUAGGUUCGGGACGGAUUUAUUGGGCCUAAAGGCUAAGUCCGUAGCCGGGUCAUGGACAAUGGUCUUACCGUUAAACUCCGAGCCGCGUCAACGGUUCGGGCUGACGGAGGAUACUACGUGGGCUAGGAGGCGGGAGGAGGCAAGCGGUACUCAGGUGGGUAGGGGUAAAUCCUUUGAAUCCAUUGAAGACCACCAGUGGC